rnacentral:rRNA from 1 species
CAGUAGUCACGAGUUUGAUCAUGGCUACAGAACGAACGCUGGCGGCAUGCCUAACACAUGCAAGUCGAACGAGACCUUCGGGUCUAGUGGCGCACGGGUGCGUAACGCGUGGGAAUCUGCCCUUGGGUUCGGAAUAACAGUUGGAAACGACUGCUAAUACCGGAUGAUGACGUAAGUCCAAAGAUUUAUCGCCCAAGGAUGAGCCCGCGUAGGAUUAGCUAGUUGGUGAGGUAAAGGCUCACCAAGGCGACGAUCCUUAGCUGGUCUGAGAGGAUGAUCAGCCACACUGGGACUGAGACACGGCCCAGACUCCUACGGGAGGCAGCAGUGGGGAAUAUUGGACAAUGGGCGAAAGCCUGAUCCAGCAAUGCCGCGUGAGUGAUGAAGGCCUUAGGGUUGUAAAGCUCUUUUACCCGGGAUGAUAAUGACAGUACCGGGAGAAUAAGCUCCGGCUAACUCCGUG